rfam:Aedes albopictus isolate Foshan contig56235, whole genome shotgun sequence.
UGUUCUGUAGCUUAGUUGGUUAAAGCGCCGGACUAGCGAUAACGGAGUUGUGUGUUUGAGUCCCAUCAAAACAA